CCUACGGGUGGCAGCAGUGAGGAAUAUUGGUCAAUGGACGAGAGUCUGAACCAGCCAAGUAGCGUGAAGGAUGACUGCCCUAUGGGUUGUAAACUUCUUUUAUAUGGGAAUAAAACGUUCCACGUGUGGGAUUUUGUAUGUACCCUAUGAAUAAGGAUCGGCUAACUCCGUGCCAGCAGCCGCGGUAAUACGGAGGAUCCGAGCGUUAUCCGGAUUUAUUGGGUUUAAAGGGAGCGUAGGUGGAUUGUUAAGUCAGUUGUGAAAGUUUGCGGCUCAACCGUAAAAUUGUAGUUGAAACUGGCAGUCUUGAGUACAGUAGAGGUGGGCGGAAUUCGUGGUGUAGCGGUGAAAUGCUUAGAUAUCACGAAGAACUCCGAUUGCGAAGGCAGUUCACUGGACUGCAACUGACACUGAGGCUCGAAAGUGUGGGUAUCAAACAGGAUUAGAUACCCUUGUAGUC
rnacentral:rRNA from 1 species